AUUGAACGCUGGCGGCAUGCUUUACACAUGCAAGUCGAACGGUAACAGGCCGCAAGGUGCUGACGAGUGGCGAACGGGUGAGUAAUGCAUCGGAACGUGCCCAGUCGUGGGGGAUAACUACUCGAAAGAGUAGCUAAUACCGCAUACGAUCUAUGGAUGAAAGCGGGGGACCGUAAGGCCUCGCGCGAUUGGAGCGGCCGAUGUCAGAUUAGGUAGUUGGUGGGGUAAAGGCUCACCAAGCCAACGAUCUGUAGCUGGUCUGAGAGGACAACCAGCCACACUGGGACUGAGACACGGCCCAGACUCCUACGGGAGGCAGCAGUGGGGAAUUUUGGACAAUGGGCGCAAGCCUGAUCCAGCAAUGCCGCGUGCAGGAAGAAGGCCUUCGGGUUGUAAACUGCUUUUGUACGGAACGAAACGGCUCUGGCUAAUACCCGGGGCUAAUGACGGUACCGUAAGAAUAAGCACCGGCUAACUACGUG
rnacentral:rRNA from 1 species